ensembl:rRNA n-R5s60 nuclear encoded rRNA 5S 60
GUAUACAGCCUUACUACCCUGAACGAACCCCAUCUCGUCUGACCUCCGAAGCUAAGCAAGUUCGGGCCUGGUUAGUACUUGCAUGGGAGACCACCUGGGAAUACCAGGUGCUGUAGGUU